AAAACCAAAGAUUUUUCCUGGUACCUAAAAAAACCCCCUAAAAACCAAAGAUUUAAUCAGCCCAACGAAAUUUAAAGUGAUGUAGCUUAUUUAGAGAAAUCAUGGUACACAGUACAAUUUUAUAUUGACCACUACAACCACUAAUAUUUCACACAUGUGACUUAUCUUAAAGGAAAAAAAUGCUUCAUGUAUGAAUUUUCUGUAGAUAUCCUUAACAAUUACAUUCUUUCUCCUGACUUUUCUGUUCAUUCCCCUUGAAGAAGCCAGUAUCAAUUUUAAUUACUCUCCUACGUGGUCUUUUAAUGAGGAGGAAGUGUUUCAUAUUUGCUGCCAUUUAUGUCCUCAGUAGUAUGUUGUAAUGCUUGAAGUUGAGAGAUGGUGACCCUGGGUCCUGAGCUGAUUCCUUAUGCCUGUGAGGUCAUAAUAGUUUUAAAGAGAAAUAAAGCAGCACCUCUUUAUUUUGGUCCUUCCAUUUUAUUUGAUCUCUUCUCCUUUUCUCUUCCACUUAUGAUAACUGAAUGGUAGAGCAGAAUGUUCACCAGACUUUGUACCAGAGAACAGGUCUCUACUCUUGGUAACACUGAGCAAAGUACUUAGCCUCUCUACCUAUCAGUCUACUGCUUUAUGAGGAUGAACUCGGAUGUACCAUUAAAAUAAAUGGAUGACCUAAGGAAAUUACUGGAGUUGAGAAAUAAGCAAGUGAGGGAACUGAGAAGAAAUGUCACACUGAAGCCUCUUCACAACUUAAGGACAACUAUGCAUCCAGACACCUGCAAUGUGACACCAGCACAGGACACAGAACCAGUUACCUUGAAGAAUUUAAGAGUAAAAGGAAUAUACCUCAAGUCAAAUAUCCACAGAGCAGGCAGCAUGGGGCAAGCAACAGUUUACUGAUGGUCCCAACACAAUGUUACUCCCAUCUUUAAGGUAAAGAUAAAUAUGUGAAAGAAAAGAAGAAUUCCAUAGUGGUCAACAGGGCAGAUUUGAAUGAGUGAUGAGCCACUGUACAUACUAACA
rnacentral:lncRNA from 1 species